GUUUAUCAUUUUUACAGUGCAAAUAUUUGUAAUAAAAAUAUUAUAAAGUGAGCACCGUACAUUUUGUAUUCUGUGUUGUAAUUGAAAUUGAUGUAUUUGAAAAUGUAGAAAAACAUCCAAAAAUAUUUAAUAAAUUUCAAUUAUUAUUCUAUUGUUUAACAGUGCCAUUAAUUUUUUUGAGUUAAUCACGUGAGUUAACUGUGAUUAGUCAACAGCCCUAAUACUAACAUAUAUUAUGGGCCAGAUUUUUAAAAGGGCAUGCAAACUUUUGUACACACAUCAGCUCAUACAAAAACUCAUGCAUUCUUUUAAAAACCAGGCUUCAUAUUUGUAUGUAGAAUACUGUACACAUUCAUGAUCCCAAGCUGUUUGUAUUCUUUGUAAUGUAAAUUCCUCUACAAGGGGAAAAUGCAGUGUCAGGCAUUUUGGAUCUCAACAUUGAGGGAGCUGGUAUUUAACAGUACUGCUGUGUCCUUGUCUUUUGUCACCAAGGCUAUAUACACAGAUUUGAGUAUUGUUUGGAUUUUGUUUUGGGAAAAGCAGAAUGCUCAGACCAGGAAGUGACUGUAUCCUGAUGUGUGUCAUUUCCCCUUCAGGCAGCUCUUGUUUACUCCCAGCUGUUUUGUUACAGACACAUAGCUGUUUUUGAUACGGCUGGCCUCAUCCCUGACUCAUAGAUAGUAAACUUUUUGUGGCUGUCUGUUUUUCACAAAUGCUAAGGUCAAUAGCAAAAAGAAUGUCAUGGGAUCUUUCACAAUCUUCUCUACUCAGACUACUGUACAAUGUGUUCGCACUGAGUCAAUAAAAGGAAAAGAAUGAUGACAGAGGGGGAAACUUCAAGUAGACUGAAAGUAGCUAGUCAGUCCUGUGAGGCACAAGUGCUUUUUCAGCAUGAUGCACAGGAGAUCCUGUCGGAGGGUUGGACUAGUUUGCUGCCAGGUUGCUUCGAGCUGCGCUGUUUGGAAGAAGCAACGUCGUCGUCUCUCACAGCUACGACGCGGCACUGCUCUCAGCAUAUCCUGCUUUUUCCCCCCAUUUACCUGGGCGGCUUCUGCUGUCUCUGUUGCUGCUGCUGGGGCUGCUGCAGUUUCGCUGCCUGUGCUUCACCCUGGCAUGUCUGAGUCGGGAAUCACUCGUCUGCACGCUGCUAAGGAAGAGCAGCGAUGGAACUCUGGCCACAUUUUUUUUUUCUGUUGGUGCUGGAAGAGAAGGGUUGUGAUGUGGGGGUGA
rnacentral:lncRNA from 1 species